GGAAGUGUACCCAAGUGGCUAAAGGGGACGGACUGUAAAUCCGUUAGCUAAGCUUUCAGUGGUUCGAAUCCACUCACUUCCACCA
rnacentral:tRNA from 2 species